rnacentral:rRNA from 1 species
CCUACGGGUGGCUGCAGUGGGGAAUAUUGGACAAUGGGGGCAACCCUGAUCCAGCAAUGCCGCGUGUGUGAAGAAGGCCUGCGGGUUGUAAAGCACUUUCGGUAGGGAAGAAAAGCUGGGGGCUAAUACCUCCGGGUCUUGACGUUACCUAAAGAAGAAGCACCGGCUAACUCCGUGCCAGCAGCCGCGGUAAUACGGAGGGUGCGAGCGUUAAUAGGAAUUACUGGGCGUAAAGCUAAGUUAGGUGGGAAAGCCCUUGGCUUAACCUGGGAACUGCAUUCGCUACUGCCCGGCUAGAGUAUGGGAGAGGGAAGCGGAAUUUCCGGUGUAGCGGUGAAAUGCGUAGAUAUCGGAAGGAACACCAAUGGCGAAGGCAGCUUCCUGGCCCAAUACUGACGCUGAGGUGCGAAAGCGUGGGGAUCAAACAGGAUUAGAUACCCGGGUAGUC